CUAGGAGAGGAUGAGAAGCCGUGGCAGGUGACGUUAAGGUUCUGCUCCGCGUAUUUACAGGAAAGUGUGUGGUGGCAGGAGACGCUGGGCGGCCGCGGAGUUGGGAUGCGUUUCUGCCAAGAUAUCUAGCAGAUAUCUUUGAGCACCGCGGUGCGGACCUAGCAAGUUGAUAACUGUUCUGGCAGCUUUCCAUUCAGCUGACAGACACCAUUCCUGAAUCAGCUGCGGAUGACCGAAGGCUGCACGUCCUGGAUUUGCUGAAAGCUGAGGAGAGCCAGUUCAGCCAAUGAGAUUGGUCGCUGCUUCUUGAAGAGAAAAAGUAAACUCUCCAUGAGUGUCUCACAGUUCCUGGCCACCACGUCAGGUAGCCAUUCCUUCCCUCACCUCCAGUUGAAACUGAUCGGUUUGCAACUGCUGCCAGGCUGCUUCCCUGCUUGGCAGGAAGAUCAAUCCCUGAAAUUUCAUAGCGUGAUAUCCCUGUUCCCCUGGAUGUACUUUUAUGAUGGUCCAGUAGGGGGAAAAUACCUGUAUGCACGGACACAGGCCCUUCCGGCAAGGAAGUUACUGUAUGGCUUUAGCGGAAAGUUGCUUCUAUGCAAGUCAUUCGGUAGCUUUUAAAGACACUUUGGGUAUGCAGUGGGAAAAAACUGGCAGAAUAGGAGUGAAAGAUCCCCGAAGAGAGACCCUUAUUCAAGUCUUGGGAAAUCGCGGACCCCAGACACAGAGAGACCAUUUUGGAUGUAAUAAGCAAAGGCGAGGUUUAUUACUGAGAUCUAUUACGGAGAUCUCCGGGCCGACACGUAUCCCGAGCAGGAGACAGAGGUGUCGACCCCAAAACUCAAAAGUCAGGGGUUUAUAUAGGGAAAGCUAGGGGGUUUGGCGCGGUUACACACAAUUGGCUAAUUUCUGGCGCGGCUAUAAGUGAUUGGCUCAUUCAAACAUAGACAACACAGCAGAAGAGUACGUGCUGACUGGGGCAUUCAGGAUUUUAGAAGCUAGUGGCUUACCAGGGUUUGAAGGACAUCUGGUUAAGGUGUGACUCUGAGUAAGCUGGGGGAGGUGCCCUUCUGCCAGAUGGUUUAUGAGUCAGUCCUGAUAACUCGGGCUGGUUCCUGCAUUCCUUUUCUUUAUCUUUAUUGUCUGUUAGUCUUAGCAUAGGGCUGCCUGGACUUGUCUGGGCUUGUUUCUUAUAGUUUAGCCCUGAGUCUGUGGAUUUUGAAAUUUACUCUUUUAAUUUUAUAUUUUUAAACCUUAAAUCUGUAUAAUUUUCCUUUCAGGAGAAGGCCCUGAACUGAAAACUAAAGCAAGAAACCCUGACUGGUUCCCAUUCUCACUCUAAGGUUCCUCUUAACCAGUAACUGCUGUCAGCCAUUGCAGGGCCCUUAGUUAGCUCUCCUACUCCUGCUGAUUAUGGUUGGCCCCUGCGUCAUUAAUGCCUUGACCAGAUAUAUACAUUCCUGAUUGGGAGCUACUAAGUAGAUGGUAAUUUAAGUUCCAAUAUGAAUAGGCACCCACCACAGAGUCAAAGGUUUGACUCAGGAUACAGCUUGUCUUAGUCAGGGUUUCUACUGCUACAAUGAAACACCGUGACUGAAAAGCAGAUCGCAGCACAGGGCUUAUGCAGCCUACACUUUCUCAGUAUUGUUCAUCAUUAAAGGAAGUCAGGACAGGAACUGAAACAGGACAGAAACCUGGAAGAAGGAGCUAAUGCAGAAGUAUGGAGGGGGUGCUGCUUACUGGCUUGCUUCCCUGGCUUGAACAGUUUACUUUCUUAAAGAACCCAGGACCACCAGUCCAGGGGUGGAAACACCCACAGUGGGCUGGAUCCUCCCCAUUAAUCACUAAGAAAAUUGCCUUAUAGCUUGAUCUUAUGGAGCCAUUUAUCUCAGUUGAGGUUCCCUCCUUUUAGAUAACUGGGAUGCCAAGUUCAUAUAAGACUAGCCAACACCCAACUCAAGGGGGAAAGUCAUGGCUAACAUGUGGAUGGGUAACUUUAUAUUUAAAAGUUUCAGUUUACUAUGUUUAAGGUAACUAUAAAGCAAAACUGGAUUUUCGAAUGUUAAGGGCUGUUCAGGAUUAAUUUUGUAACUGUCUGGUGGACUCUUACAGCUUUAAUAAAACCACUUUCUACUUCUACAGAAAAGUUUGCUUUGCAGGAGCUGGCCUCUGCUGGUAGUCAGUGUGUAACUCUGUGUUCUUUGCUUUUAAAAGUCCCUGAGGUCAG
ensembl:lncRNA